ACUCAAAUGAAUAGACGGGGGCUCGCACAAGUGGUGGAGCAUGUGGUUUAAUUCGAAGCUAAGCGAGGAACCUUACCUGGGCUUGACAUCUCUGGAACCCUGCAGAAAUGCGGGGGUGCCUUCGGGAGCCAGAUGACAGGUGCUGCACGGUCGUCGUCAGCUCGUGCCGUGAGGUGUUCCGUUCAGUCGGCAAACGAGCGCAACCCCUACCCUGUGUUGUAUUCUCACGGGGGACUGCUCCGAUCAUCGGAGAGGAAGGUGGGGAUGACGUCAGAUCAGCGUGGCUCUUACGCCCAGGGCGACACACGUGCUACAAUGGCAGUCAACAACGGGUUGCAAUACCGCAAGGUGGAGCUAAUCCCUGAAACACUGCCCCAGUUCGGAUUGUAGGCUGCAAUUCGCCUACAUGAAGCCGGAAUCACUAGUAAACGCGCAUCAGCCAUGGCGCGUUGAAUACGUUCUCGAGCCUUGUACACACCGCCCGU
rnacentral:rRNA from 1 species